rnacentral:rRNA from 1 species
GAGUUUGAACCUGGCUCAGGACGAACGCUGGCGGCGUGCUUAACACAUGCAAGUCGAGCGAAGCACUUCGUUUUGAAUCUUCGGAGGAAGAACGGAAUGACUGAGCGGCGGACGGGUGAGUAACGCGUGGGCAACCUGCCUCAUACAGGGGGAUAACAGUUAGAAAUGACUGCUAAUACCGCAUAAGACCGCGGUACCGCAUGGUACAGCGGUAAAAACUCCGGUGGUAUGAGAUGGGCCCGCGUCUGAUUAGCUAGUUGGCGGGGUAACGGCCCACCAAGGCGACGAUCAGUAGCCGACCUGAGAGGGUGACCGGCCACAUUGGGACUGAGACACGGCCCAAACUCCUACGGGAGGCAGCAGUGGGGAAUAUUGCACAAUGGGGGAAACCCUGAUGCAGCGACGCCGCGUGAGCGAUGAAGUAUUUCGGUAUGUAAAGCUCUAUCAGCAGGGAAGAAGAUGACGGUACCUGACUAAGAAGCCCCGGCUAACUACGUGCCAGCAGCCGCGGUAAUACGUAGGGGGCAAGCGUUAUCCGGAUUUACUGGGUGUAAAGGGAGCGUAGACGGCGGUGCAAGCCAGAUGAGAAAGCCCGGGGCUCAACCCCGGGACUGCAUUUGGAACUGUAUGGCUGGAGUGUCGGAGAGGCAGGCGGAAUUCCUAGUGUAGCGGUGAAAUGCGUAGAUAUUAGGAGGAACACCAGUGGCGAAGGCGGCCUGCUGGACGAUGACUGACGU